UACAGAGGCCCCAAGCCAUUAUCCGGAAUUACUGGGCGUAAAGGGUGUCAAGGCGGUCAUGUUAGUCGUUCGUUAAAUCCGUGGGCUCAACCUACGGCUCGCGAGCGAAACGGCAUGACUUGAGGUUGGAAGAGGUGCGUGGAACUCACGGUGUAGGGGUGAAAUCCGUUGAUAUCGUGGGGAACACCAAGGCGAAGGCAGCGCACUGGUCCGAAACUGACGCUC
rnacentral:rRNA from 1 species